AGUGAACGCUGGCGGCGGGCCUAAUACAUGCAAGUCGAACGAACAGACAGUAAGCGUUCGCCUCUAACGUUAGCGGCUGGCGGGUGAGUAACACGUAGAUAACCUUCCUAUAAUACGUGGGGAACUUCGUGGAGCCGGAUCUAAUACCAGAUAAUAUGUUCAACCGCAUGAUUCAAUAGUUAAACGCAGCUUGCCUGUCACUUUGAGAUGGAGCCGCGCCGGAUUAGCUAGUUGGUAAGGUAACGGCCUACCAAGGCAACGAUGCGUAGCUGACCUGAGAGGGUGAUCGGCCACACUGGAACUGAGACACGGUCCAGACUCCUACGGGAGGCAGCAGUAGGGAAUAUUGGGCAAUGGGCGCAAGCCUGACGGAGCCACGCCGCGUGAGUGAUGAAGGUCUUCGGAUCGUAAAACCCUUUUAUUAGGGAAGAACAACUGUGGAAGUAACUCUGCACGUCUUGACGGUACCCAAUCAGAAAGCAACGGCUAACUACGUG
rnacentral:rRNA from 1 species